rnacentral:rRNA from 1 species
GACGAACGCUGGCGGCGUGCCUAAUACACGCAAGUCGAGCGGACCGACGGGAGCUUGCUCCCUUAGGUCAGCGGCGGACGGGUGAGUAACACGUGGGUAACCUGCCUGUAAGACUGGGAUAACUCCGGGAAACCGGGGCUAAUACCGGAUGCUUGAUUGAACCGCAUGGUUCAAUCAUAAAAGGUGGCUUUCAGCUACCACUUACAGAUGGACCCGCGGCGCAUUAGCUAGUUGGUGAGGUAACGGCUCACCAAGGCGACGAUGCGUAGCCGACCUGAGAGGGUGAUCGGCCACACUGGGACUGAGACACGGCCCAGACUCCUACGGGAGGCAGCAGUAGGGAAUCUUCCGCAAUGGACGAAAGUCUGACGGAGCAACGCCGCGUGAGUGAUGAAGGUUUUCGGAUCGUAAAACUCUGUUGUUAGGGAAGAACAAGUACCGUUCGAAUAGGGCGGCACCUUGACGGUACCUAACCAGAAAGCCACGGCUAACUACGUGCCAGCAGCCGCGGUAAUACGUAGGUGGCAAGCGUUGUCCGGAAUUAUUGGGCGUAAAGCGCGCGCAGGCGGUUUCUUAAGUCUGAUGUGAAAGCCCCCGGCUCAACCGGGGAGGGUCAUUGGAAACUGGGGAACUUGAGUGCAGAAGAGGAGAGUGGAAUUCCACGUGUAGCGGUGAAAUGCGUAGAGAUGUGGAGGAACACCAGUGGCGAAGGCGACUCUCUGGUCUGUAACUGACGCUGAGGC